rnacentral:rRNA from 1 species
AUUGAACGCUGGCGGCAUGCCUUACACAUGCAAGUCGAACGGCAGCACGGGAGCAAUCCUGGUGGCGAGUGGCGAACGGGUGAGUAAUGUAUCGGAACGUGCCCAGUCGUGGGGGAUAACGUAGCGAAAGCUACGCUAAUACCGCAUACGAUCUGUGGAUGAAAGCGGGGGACCGUAAGGCCUCGCGCGAUUGGAGCGGCCGAUAACAGAUUAGGUAGUUGGUGGGGUAAAGGCCUACCAAGCCGACGAGCUGUAGCUGGUCUGAGAGGACGACCAGCCACACUGGGACUGAGAAACGGCCCAGACUCCUACGGGAGGCAGCAGUGGGGAAUUUUGGACAAUGGGCGCAAGCCUGAUCCAGCAAUGCCGCGUGCAGGAUGAAGGCCUUCGGGUUGUAAACUGCUUUUGUACGGAGCGAAAAGGCUCUCUCUGAUACAGGGGGCUCAUGACGGUACCGUAAGAAUAAGCACCGGCUAACUACGUGCCAGCCGCCGCAGUAA